rnacentral:rRNA from 1 species
AUAUAAAUAUUUAAAUUAAUAUACAUAGGUAUAUAAGUUGUAAUAUAAAAUUUUUUAAAAUAAUAAUAAUAAAAAAAAUUUUUAGUAAUAAAUUUUAAAAAAAUAAUUAUUUUAUAGUAAAUUAGUAAUGUAAAUAAAAAUUGAAAUAAAUUUAAAAAAAUAUUUUAUUUAAAGUAAAUUUAAUUUAUUGUAUCUUGUGUAUCAGAGAUUAUUAAUAAAAAUUUUUGUUUAUUAAAUAUUUUCGAAAUUUAAAGAUUUAAUUAAAUAAAUUAGUUAUUGUAAAAAAAAUAUUAAUAAUAUUUAAUUAGAAAUGAAAUGUUUAUCGUUUUAAAUUAUAUCUAAUUUUUAAAGAAAUAAAUUUAAUUUUUUUAUUUAUAAGUAUUUUAAUUAAAAAUUUUUAAAUUUUUAAUUUUAUAUAAAUAAUGAUAUUAUAAGGGAUAAGCUUUAUAAUAAAUAUUUAAAUAAAAUGAAAAAUUUUUAAUUAUUUAAAAAUAAUAAGAAUAAAAUUAUUUAAUGAUUAUAUUUUUUUAUAAAAAAUUUUAAAAAUAUGGAAUAAUUUAAAUUAUAUAAAUUAAUGUUUAAUAAAUUUAUUUAAAUAUUUAUUUUAAUUAAAAAAAUAAAGUAAUAAUGAUAAUAUUAGUAUAAAAAUAUUAUAAAAUUUAAGUUAUUAAGAUUAUUUAAUUUUAAGAAUUCGGCAAUAAUUUAUAUUCGCUUGUUUAACAAAAACAUGUCUUUUUGGUUGAUAAUUUAAAGUCUAAUCUGCCCCCUGAAAAUUUUUAAAGGGCUGCGGUAUUUUGACCGUACAAAGGUAGCAUAAUAAAUAGAUUUUUAAUUGAAAUCUAGAAUGAAUGAUUGGACGAAAUAUAAACUUUUUUAUUUUAAUUUAUAAAAUUUAAUUUUUUGGUUAAAAAGCUAAAAUUAUUUUAAAAGACGAGAAGACCCUAUAAAUUUUUAUAAAAUUUUUUUUAAAAAAAUUAUUUUUUAAGAAUUUUAUAAUUUAAAAAUUUUAUUGUAUUGGGGUGAUAAAAAAAUUUAAUAAACUUUUUUUAAAAAAAAUAUUUAGAUUUAAAAAGUAUAAUUUUAUGAGUAUAUUAUUAAUAAAAAUAAGAAUAAAAUACUUUAGGGAUAACAGCGUAAUUUUAAUUUUAAGUUCAUAUUAAAAUUAAAGAUUGCGACCUCGAUGUUGGAUUAAAAUUUAAUUUAAAAGCAAAAAUUUAAAAAUUAAGUCUGUUCGACUUUUAAAAUUUUACAUGAUCUGAGUUCAAACCGGUGUGAGCCAGGUUGGUUUCUAUCUUUAAUUAAUUUAUAAUUUUUUAGUACGAAAGGAUUUUUAAUUAAAAAUAAAUUUUUAUUUAAUGAAUUAAAUUAAUUAAUUU